rnacentral:rRNA from 1 species
AUUGAACGCUGGCGGCAUGCCUUACACAUGCAAGUCGAACGGCAGCACGGGUGCUUGCACCUGGUGGCGAGUGGCGAACGGGUGAGUAAUACAUCGGAACAUGUCCUGUAGUGGGGGAUAGCCCGGCGAAAGCCGGAUUAAUACCGCAUACGAUCUACGGAUGAAAGCGGGGGACCUUCGGGCCUCGCGCUUUCGGGUUGGCCGAUGGCUGAUUAGCUAGUUGGUGGGGUAAAGGCCUACCAAGGCGACGAUCAGUAGCUGGUCUGAGAGGGCGACCAGCCACACUGGGACUGAGACACGGCCCAGACUCCUACGGGAGGCAGCAGUGGGGAAUUUUGGACAAUGGGCGAAAGCCUGAUCCAGCAAUGCCGCGUGUGUGAAGAAGGCCUUCGGGUUGUAAAGCACUUUUGUCCGGAAAGAAAUCCUUGGCCCUAAUACGGUCGGGGGAUGACGGUACCGGAAGAAUAAGCACCGGCUAACUACGUG